GUUUGAUCUGCUCCUGCCCUGCUCUGCACGUCUUGGUUUUUCCUGGAGUUCAGCAAUUAGGUUUUGUGUCACAUUUGUGACUCUCAUUUGUGUAACACUUUGACCUUCAGAGGAAUCUAUUAACCGUAAAGGGGAGGUCAGAGAUCAAAUAUUCACCACAGUGGAUGGAUCCACAUGUUUGAUUUGGAUGCCCUACAAAAAAAACAGCACUGGUUUUUCCUUCCCCUGAGGCUGGGUUUGUGUCUCCUUUUGCAUGUAUGCACCUUUGAUAUGUUAAAGCAGUCAGGCUCACCAACUGGCUGCAGCAUCUGAACUACACAACCUUACCUUCUGGAAACUAAAAGGAGAUGGGGUGAGAAAGAUCAACAGAGCAGGAGUGGGAAGGGAAGGAGAGAGAGCAGAAUGAAGAAGUGAAACAGGUAAAAGAAUACGUGACCCCCCAUCGAGGGAAAUGGAUGAGGUAGGUUCCCUACAGGGUAGUGCGACAUGGGCUGUGUAUGCAUUCAGACCCACUCGUGGAUGAUUGACAGUGCCACUGGGACAUCCAUGGAAAUAGAUUUGAGGGACUACAAAACCCCUGUGGGCAGCAAGGCAGAGGAACACCCUCUGGGUGAGUGAUUGCAGAGGUUAAGUUGAGAUCAGGCUCACCGACACAGCCAGUAUAACAUUGCUUUAGUUUGAGUCAUACACAGAGACCGGUCUGCUCCUGUGAAACAUUGAUGAAAAGCAUGACCUAUGCCUUAGCAUUUUUUACCCUCACUCUGCGUAAGAUUAAAAAGCCAUACACAUUACAUUAUUUCAAGAAAUUCAUGUAGCUUUUGGUAGCUGGUUCUCAAAAGACCACAGAUCAUUUAGGUCCAUGUGUUAAGAAUCCCAUCUUCAAACCUAAAUACAAUCAGUGUGCUGCCUGUUCUGGGAGUGAUUUCUGGGUUAGGUUCCUCCUGUUGCACCAAACAUAAUAAAGAAACCUCCUGUGUUAGUGUGUUUUAUCAGUUAAAAAAAAUGCUUAAUGUCACAUUCAUACUUGGAUGUUUUACAUUUACUCCAUUUUUUAUUCUGUUGUUAUAUCUGGAACCCUAUUUUGAAAGUUGGAAUGCUUGUCUCUUAGAGUAUUUUCCACUGAAAAAGGAGAGAUAGAAGAACCUAAAGAAUGGCUGGUGCAAAAUCGGAUCAGCUGGGAGGACAGUCUACUGUGAUUGGUUGUUGUGUUAGGUGGCAUGAAUGUGGCAGACCAGCCAAAAAACCUUGAAACUAAUGCUACUGCUAUAAGUACUACUGCAAAAAAAAUCUGCCACAUACGUUUUACCUCGAAACACAAUUUAUAUUUUGAAAUGCUGAGAAUGUUUCUACUCUUUGGGUGGGCUUACAGAAUUAUAUUCCAGGAGAAUGCUUUUGCCUUCCAAAAGUCCUCUGAUUUGAGGGUUGUACUUUGAAGGUGAGGUUUGUAGCACUUAACAUGUACAACAUGAUUCGGUGACUAACCUGCU